AGCGAACGCUGGCGGCAGGCUUAACACAUGCAAGUCGAGCGGGCCCUUCGGGGUCGAGCGGCAGACGGGUGAGUAACACGUGGGAACGUGCCCUUCGGUUCGGAAUAACUCAGGGAAACUUGAGCUAAUACCGGAUACGCCCUUUUGGGGAAAGGUUACUGCCGAAGGAUCGGCCCGCGUCUGAUUAGCUAGUUGGUGGGGUAAUGGCCCACCAAGGCGACGAUCAGUAGCUGGUCUGAGAGGAUGAUCAGCCAGACUGGGACUGAGAACGGCCCAGACUCCUACGGGAGGCAGCAGUAGGGAAUUUCCACAAUGGGCGAAAGCCUGAUGGAGCAACGCCGCGUGCAGGAUGAAUGCUUUCGAGUUGUAAAC
rnacentral:rRNA from 1 species